rnacentral:tRNA from 1 species
UCCUCAUUAGUAUAGUGGUGAGUAUCCCCGCCUGUCACGCGGGAGACCGGGGUUCGAUUCCCUGACGGGGAG